rnacentral:rRNA from 1 species
UACGUAGGGUGCAAGCGUUGUCCGGAUUUAUUGGGCGUAAAGAGCGUGUAGGCGGCUUUGCAAGUCCGUUGUGAAAACUCGAGGCUCAACCUCGAGACGCCGGUGGAAACUGCAAAGCUAGAGUCCGGAAGAGGCGAGUGGAAUUCCCGGUGUAGCGGUGAAAUGCGCAGAUAUCGGGAGGAACACCUAUGGCGAAGGCAGCUCGCUGGGACGUUACUGACGCUGAGACGCGAAAGCGUGGGGAGCAAACAGG